rnacentral:rRNA from 1 species
CGGACGGGUGAGUAAUGUCUGGGAAACUGUCCGAUGGAGGGGGAUAACUACUGGAAACGGUAGCUAAUACCGCAUAACGUCGCAAGACCAAAGAGGGGGACCUUCGGGCCUCUUGCCAUCGGAUGUGCCCAGAUGGGAUUAGCUAGUAGGUGGGGUAACGGCUCACCUAGGCGACGAUCCCUAGCUGGUCUGAGAGGAUGACCAGCCACACUGGAACUGAGACACGGUCCAG